GAUGAACGCUGGCGGCGUGCCUAAUACAUGCAAGUAGAACGCUGAAGGAGGAGCUUGCUCUUCUGGAUGAGUUGCGAACGGGUGAGUAACGCGUAGGUAACCUGCCUGGUAGCGGGGGAUAACUAUUGGAAACGAUAGCUAAUACCGCAUGACAACAGUUAUUGCAUGAUAACUGUUUAAAAGGGGCAACUGCUCCACUACCAGAUGGACCUGCGUUGUAUUAGCUAGUUGGUGAGGUAACGGCUCACCAAGGCGACGAUACAUAGCCGACCUGAGAGGGUGAUCGGCCACACUGGGACUGAGACACGGCCCAGACUCCUACGGGAGGCAGCAGUAGGGAAUCUUCGGCAAUGGACGGAAGUCUGACCGAGCAACGCCGCGUGAGUGAAGAAGGUUUUCGGAUCGUAAAGCUCUGUUGUAAGAGAAGAACGAGUGUGAGAGUGGAAAGUCCACACUGUGACGGUAUCUUACCAGAAAGGGACGGCUAACUACGU
rnacentral:rRNA from 1 species